AACGUAGGAGACGAACGUUAUCCGGAGUUACUGGGCGUAAAGGGCGCGUAGGCGGCCACCGCAAGACGACUGUGAAAUCUCCGGGCUUAACCCGGAAAGGUCAGCCGAUACUGCGGGGCUAGAGUGCAGAAGGGGCAACUGGAAUUCUCGGUGUAGCGGUGAAAUGCGUAGAUAUCGAGAGGAACACCUGCGGCGAAGGCGGGUUGCUGGGCUGACACUGACGCUGAAGCGCGAAAGCUAGGGGAGCGAACGGG
rnacentral:rRNA from 1 species